UUCCGGUGUUCCUAGCUCCUGGGUCGCUUCUUUGUCUCUUCCGGCUUCGCAGCCAUCACUCAGGGAACGAAUUUCCUGCGUUAAAUCCCUCCUGUUUCAAAUGCUUGAGUGAUUUCUGUUUUCCAGUUGACAUUUGACUUAAUUCUUUGAGUAAGGGGAUAGGGAGCGUGGCGGACGUGGGUGUUUCGGGGAGAAUCACGCAGAGCCCUUGGUGAAGAGCUGACCGGACAGCUGCAGGAAGUGAGCAACAAACCCAACCUGGGCAACAGGGCGCCCGGAAGGAACCGCGGGGCAAGGGCGUCAUUCAAAUCAGGAAAGCACCUUCCUCAACACAUAUCAGAAUGGAGCACCUACCUUAUUUGAAGCAGAUACUCAAAUGGAAACUGAAACAACACUUGCUGUUUUCCUUACGAAAGCAAAUCCAGGUGCCAGAGAAAGAGAGACACUCCAAACAGCCCAGAGCUGGAUGUGGCAAUGGUCCCCACCCCCCACCAGUGGAAAUCACAUCUCAUCUCCGACGUGUAUCUUGAGUCUCCAGUGAUGACGUCUGUCCCUGACGAUGGCGUCCCAGCUGCAGGACUUCAGUCAUUGUUCUCCUUGACCCCACAGAAAUCAUGGCUGGUGGUUCUGAAGCCCUGGAAGAAAUGUACCUCCCUAACCCCACCUCACUCCACACACAAUUACACUCAGGGUUAAUGGAAUCCAAACCAUCUAGAGCAUCGUGUUUGUGGAUGUAGCGGAUGCUGUGCGGCAUUGUCAAGAUGCUUCUCUGAACUAAGAGGAUCCCCCCAGCUCUUGGGAGCACUGCAGCAGAGAGCCCUCAUUUCUUAGCCCUUUUCUGUAUUGCUUCAACUGGAGGGAUUUUGCCUCUUCCAAGGCAGCACUCAGUCAUUCAGUCGUGUCCAACUCUUUGCAACCCUAUGGACCGUAGCUGCCAAGCUCCUCUGUCCAUGGGAUGUUCCAGGCAAGAAUACUGGAGUGGGUUGCCAUUUCCUCCUCCCUUCCAAGGCAGACCACACCCUUAUUACAUGUAUGAGUUAUAAGGCAAAUUAAUCACAGUCCAACUCAGGACAGCUCUGAAGGACCCUGUCAGCUCCUGACACCAUUCGGGAUGCUGACACCAUCCUGAAACUAUAUCACAGCUGAGAUUCUCUAUCUGCUUAAUCCUACUUCCUCCCUCCCCUCCCCACCCCCUCCCCUCCCCACCCCCUCCCCUCCUCCUCCCCCUCCCCUUCUCUUCCUUUUCCUUCCCCUCCCAUUCUUUCAGUUCCUUUCCCAUCAGUUCCACAACUGGCAGUGCCAAGAGCACUUCCCAAUAACUUCCUACACUUUUGUGUCCACUGCAGAGUGUGCGACCAGGAGAACCCAAUCUGUGACCACGGGCAAAUUUUUACUUUGUUAUAUGUAUCACAAAAAUUUAUGUGUUACAUAUGUCAAUUCCAAAUCAUUAUUUUUAAACUUUUCCUGAAGUCUAAAGAAAAUACUAUGUAGUACUAUUCUAGAACAUCCAAAAUUCAUUCUAAUCCCAUUUUUAUCAAAUAAUUUUGUUAAGUCAGUAAAAUCUUAAUUUGUUCAACAAA